rnacentral:rRNA from 1 species
GAAGGAUCAUUGUGGAGUACCGAACCCUGCAAAGCAGCGCGACUGGUGUGGACAUGUCAAUUAUCAUUCUGGGGGUGGGGACGCCAGCGCGCCUGGCGACUCCCCCUCACAUCCAGGCCUGCAAGUUCCGUGCCCGCUACUCCCCGCGAGUUCAGGCACCGGCUGGCGACUUGGGUGAAUAACGAACCCCGGCGCAAUGGGCGCCAAGGAAAUGCAGCAGUGGAAUGUGCGAUGGAUACCAUCGCCAUGAUGACUUUACACGACUCUCGGCAACGGAUAUCUCGGCUCUUGCAUCGAUGAAGAAUGUAGCGAAAUGCGAUACUUGGUGUGAAUUGCAGAAUCCUGUGAACCAUCGAGUCUUUGAACGCAAGUUGCGCCCAAGGCCAUUAGGUUGAGGGCACGCCUGCCUGGGCAUCAUGCCUCGUGUAAGCUCCGUGCUCAACUCCUUGUGUGGGUGUUGUUCAGGGAUGCGUAGAUUGGCCACCCAUGCGUUUGGGCGUGGAAGGCUUAAAAUUGAGCCCUUGGUGGCGCGCAGCACGAUGAGUGGUGGUUGAAAUCACAUGCUCGGGUUCGGAUGUCGUGUGCGUUGCCCCCAUUAUUAUCUGGGCCUCAGAAACCCAAGGUUGUCCUUGAAAUUGGUUGU